rnacentral:rRNA from 1 species
AGGACGAACGCUGGCGGCGUGCUUAAUACAUGCAAGUCGAACGGAGGCAGAGACUUCGGUUUCUGUCUUAGUGGCGAACGGGUGAGUAACGCGUGAAUAACCUGACUCAAAGAGGGGGAUAACAAUCGGAAACGAUUGCUAAUACCGCAUAAGACCACAACACCGCAUGAUGAAGGGGUCAAAGAGAUAUCGCUUUGAGAGGGGUUCGCGUCCCAUUAGGUAGUUGGAGGGGUAACGGCCCACCAAGCCAACGAUGGGUAGCCGAGCUGAGAGGCUGAUCGGCCACACUGGAACUGAGACACGGUCCAGACUCCUACGGGAGGCAGCAGUAGGGAAUAUUGGGCAAUGGGCGCAAGCCUGACCCAGCAACGCCGCGUGAGGGAAGAAGGUUUUCGGAUUGUAAACCUCUGUCCUAUGUGACGAAGGAAGUGACGGUAGCAUAGGAGGAAGCCCCGGCUAACUACGUG